rnacentral:rRNA from 1 species
UACGAGGGGGGCAAGUGUUGUUCGGAAUCACUGGGCGUAAAGGGAGCGUAGGCGGAUGUUUAAGUUGGAUGUUUAAAACCGGGGCCUAACCUCGGAGCGGCCUCCAAAACUGGGCAUCUUGAAUAGGUCAGAGGCUGGUGGAAUUGGGGGUGUAGCGGUGGAAUUCGUAGAGAUCUCCAAGAACACCUAUUGCGAAGGCAGCCAGCUGGACCGAUAUUGACGCUGAGGCUCGAAAGCAUGGGGAGCAAACAGG